rnacentral:rRNA from 1 species
GAUGAACGCUGGCGGCGUGCCUAAUACAUGCAAGUCGAGCGAACAGACGAGGAGCUUGCUCCUCUGACGUUAGCGGCGGACGGGUGAGUAACACGUGGAUAACCUACCUAUAAGACUGGGAUAACUUCGGGAAACCGGAGCUAAUACCGGAUAAUAUAUUGAACCGCAUGGUUCAAUAGUGAAAGACGGUUUUGCUUUCACUUAUAGAUGGAUCCGCGCCGCAUUAGCUAGUUGGUAAGGUAACGGCUUACCAAGGCGACGAUGCGUAGCCGACCUGAGAGGGUGAUCGGCCACACUGGAACUGAGCCACGGUCCAGACUCCUACGGGAGGCAGCAGUAGGGAAUCUUCCGCAAUGGGCGAAAGCCUGACGGAGCAACGCCGCGUGAGUGAUGAAGGUCUUCGGAUCGUAAAACUCUGUUAUUAGGGAAGAACAAAUGUGUAAGUAACUAUGCACGUCUUGACGGUACCUAAUCAGAAAGCCACGGCUAACUACGUG